rnacentral:rRNA from 1 species
GAUCAGUGGCGAACGGGUGAGUAACACGUGAGUAACCUGCCCUCCACUCUGGGAUAAGCGCUGGAAACGGCGUCUAAUGCUGGAUACGACCAAUCCCUGCAUGGGGUGUUGGUGGAAAGAUUUAUCGGUGGUGGAUGGACUCGCGGCCUAUCAGUUUGUUGGUGGGGUAAUGGCCUACCAAGGCGACGACGGGUAGCCGGCCUGAGAGGGCGACCGGCCACACUGGGACUGAGACACGGCCCAGACUCCUACGGGAGGCAGCAGUGGGGAAUAUUGCACAAUGGGCGAAAGCCUGAUGCAGCGACGCCGCGUGAGGGAUGACGGCCUUCGGGUUGUAAACCUCUUUCAGCAGGGAAGAAGCUUUUGUGACGGUACCUGCAGAAGAAGCACCGGCUAACUACGUGCCAGCAGCCGCGGUAAUACGUAGGGUGCGAGCGUUGUCCGGAAUUAUUGGGCGUAAAGAGCUUGUAGGCGGUUUGUCGCGUCUGCUGUGAAAAUCCAGGGCUUAACCCUGGACGUGCAGUGGGUACGGGCAGACUAGAGUAUGGUAGGGGAGACUGGAAUUCCUGGUGUAGCGGUGGAAUGCGCAGAUAUCAGGAGGAACACCGAUGGCGAAGGCAGGUCUCUGGGCCAUUACUGACGCUGAGAAGCGAAAGCAUGGGGAGCGAACAGGAUUAGAUACCCUGGUAGUCCAUGCCGUAAACGUUGGGCGCUAGGCGUGGGUCUCAUUCCACGAGAUCCGUGUCGCAG